AUUCUACUCCCUCUGUUGCACAAUACAUGCCUUAUAUUUGUCAAAAUAUAUAUGUAUCUAGACAUGUUUUAGUAUAUAGGUACAUCCAUUUUUGGACAAAUGGAAGUCAAGUAUUUUGGAACGGAGGGAGUACACA
rnacentral:pre_miRNA from 1 species